CCGCCCGUCGCGGCGGCCGGAAGGUGAUGUGGCGGAGCGCGGCGCGAUGUCUGCCAUCUUCAACUUCCAGAGUCUGCUGACUGUGAUCCUGCUGCUCAUAUGUACCUGUGCCUAUGUCAGAUCCUUGGCUCCCAGCUUACUGGACAAAAAUAAAACCGGACUGUUGGGGAUAUUCUGGAAAUGCGCCAGGAUCGGUGAGCGGAAGAGCCCCUAUGUGGCCGUGUGCUGUGUGGUGAUGGCCUUCAGUAUCCUGUUCAUGCAGUAGCAGCUGGAGAGUGUCCCCAACAGCAGAUCCUCUGUAAGGAAAGGAUUCGAAGCCUCACCAAGUCUCUUCUCACAUGAUGGAUAACCUAUCUCCUGGUGGACACCCCUGCAGACGGACCAGCAUUAGUGAUCAUAACCCAGAUGUGAUGUGCUUGUUAAUGCCAGAGAUCAAAACCUGCCUCUGGUUUCCUAUCUGCUCUGUGGGUCCCUGUUGACAUCCACACACAGCAAAGGGCAGCACCUGGAGCUCCAGCCCACCUCCUGAGCCCAUCCCUGAAAGGUCAGGGAUGACCUUUCCAGCUUUCCAGCAUCAGUGUCCAGCUUGGCCUUGAACAUCGAACACCACGAGAGAGAGAGAGAGACAAAGACCCCGAGCAGAUUUAACCCUUGCGUAGCAACAUGAAGCUUCCAGAGCUUGGCCCUUCUCUGACAGAGUAAGAAAGGACAGAGUGAACAUAAAGAACAACAGCAUGAAGUCAGUCGAAAGAGUGAAAAGACUAUUGGGACAGAGGGUUGAAGAGUUGGUUGUUCCCUUCUUACUUGAGCCAUGGAAAUGAACUCUAUAUUUAGAUCAUUCCUUUAAAUCAUGGGAAAGAUGCAUUUGGGGAGAUGAUUGUUUCAAUUUGUGUGUGAAUUUGAGCAAAGGUGUUUGUGAUGAACUAAGUAAUAUCCUAUAAGAUGCUUGAACAGAGAUAAAGAUGAGAAGCCUCCUGCACCAGUGAAGAAGUGAGAAGAUAUCUCUGUACUUUGGGGUGAAGAACCCUUUGCUUUAGAGUUAUUCAUCUUUAAAAGCUGACACCCCAGUAUGCAAAAGUCUAAGACCCAUGACCCAUAAGCAGCUUGGGAACCUGCUCCUGGGAGGGUCUCAAAGGCAGGUUUCCCUGGGUGGCUGUUUUUGUGACAGUUUAAAACCCACAAGAGAACUGUUCUAAGUUGUCAGUGGCAUCCAUGACUCUAAAAGAUACUCUUCUCCUAAUGAAUUGAUGAAAGACUAUUGUCAGAUGGUGAAACUGACUGAAAAUUACAAGUUUUGUCUCUUUAUGUUGUUCUGUUAAAAAAUGAACAGUUUGUAAGGGGAGGGAAGAGUGGGUUUGAAUUUUCAUUCCGUUUUAGUCGGUUUUUUCCAACUUUCUUUUUUUUCUAUUCUUUUAGUGUAUGCUAAUAAAGCUAUUUGUUAAUUUUAAA